rnacentral:rRNA from 1 species
CCUACUGGAGGCAGCAGUGGGGAAUAUUGCACAAUGGGGGAAACCCUGAUGCAGCGACGCCGCGUGAGAGAAGAAGGAUGUCGGUAUGUAAAGCUCUAUCAGCAGGGAAGAAAAUGACGGUACCUGAGUAAGAAGCUCCGGAUAAAGACGGGCCAGCAGCCGCGGUAAUACGUAUGGAGCAAGCGUUAUCCGGAUGGACUGGGCGUCAAGGGAGCGUAGGCGGCCUGCCCAGUCUGAUGGGACAUACCGGGGCUCAACCCCGGGGCUGCAUGGGAAACUGGCAGGCUGGAGUGCCGGAGAGGCUGGCGGAAUUCCUCGUGUAGCGGUGCACUGCGUAGCUAUUAGGCGGAACACCAGUGGCGCAGGCGGCCUGCUGGACGGUGACUGACGCUGAGGCUCGCAAGCGUGGGGCGCACACAGGAUUAGAUACCCCUGUAGUC